GCUGUGGCUGUUAUGUAACCUUUCAUAUUUUGGCUGGAAUUCGGACACUUCCAGAAUCAACAGAUGAAACUGGUGAGGAUUAACAAAAAAAAAAGAAGGUGCUGGGUGAUUCUCAGAAUGUCCUGGUAAAGUUAGAGAUCAGGCUUGGAAUCUACACAGCCAGAACCUCACUUAAAAUCCUGCCCCAGAUCUGCUCCAGGGAAAACACUACCAGGCACAGUCACUACAGUUUGCAAGGCUGACACAGUGACACUGGACAGGGACUGGACACCAACACCAAAGCUGCUACUCCAGGACACUGCCUAUAGCUGUGCCCGAAUGGAUUAAGUCAUUACCUAAGACUCAUGUUCUGGGGAAAAUCACAUCCAGAAGGAAAUCACAUCCAGACCCGUGAAGGCAAAGGCGUUUGGGAAACGCGGUUUCCAUCAUUCUAGUCCCUGUAACACAGAGA